GCCCUGGUUGCACAAUGGUAACAGCUCAGCUGUUAACUGAAAGGUGGAGGUUCAAACCCUCUCAGAGGCU
rnacentral:tRNA from 1 species